UGUGGGUUCUAAGGAACCUCUCUGGAUUCUUUUCAGUCAUUCACCGAUGCUCACUUGACUUGACAGAGAGGAUCUCCAUGAAUUUCCAAAGCCCCUGGAUCCUCCAAGAUGUCCAGCCUGUGGAUAAGUCUGAGUCUGCUCUAUGUUCUACAAAGCUGUGUCUCAUCAGAUGAAGUAGUGUCACUGAAUUGCAACAAGACAGUGGAAGUUAAAGCUGGAGAAACUGUGACACUGAAUUGCACCAUCGAGUGGAAACUGAAAAACGGGGACUGUAAAGGCGAAACGUAUGACUGGACGAACACAAAUGACACCAGCAUAUGUAGCAGUAACUUGACUGAGUACAGCUGUUCUUGGGAUGAAGUGACUUACGUGUCACUGACCAUCUCACAAGCCAAGAAAGAGGAAAAUGUGACAGUUGAAAUAUAUGCAAACUGUGGCAUGGAUUGGUCAACUAUCGAAGUUAAGAUCUUUGGGGAAAUCCCAGAUCA